rnacentral:piRNA from 1 species
UAUCUCAAUGCCCGAGGAGAAGCACCAGA